CCAAAAUAGACAAGGGAAGAACUGCUUCAGCCACUGAUGUACACGGGUCUCUGCAAGAACACAAGAAGCCUGAAUUGGCUUAAAGUGGGCUCCUGGAGAUGCGAUGAAGAGAGACAACCCAGAUUUACUGCCUGGCUUUGCACUCCUUAAUCGUCCCCUUCAGUGUUAAUGGAGGAAGGAGAGAAGCUUCCCCAGAGGGCAAACACCUGGGAAAACCUGCCUUCUGCUUCCAGCACCCCCACAGGAUGAUGAAGGGUGUUAGAAGGGCCUGCUGUGUGCGUGCAAGGACCCUGAGUUCAUCCCCGAGGAAUUUUGUGUCUUAAAAGGAAAAACAGCAAUUUCCCUGGCCCUGAAGAGAGAAAAUCUGAUCCUCUGAGCUCAUCCCUAGACUCAUCUGCCUUUCCUGAAGCUGAGAGAGAGGAAUCUGCUUGCCCUCCCAGGAACACUGAGACCCCUGGUUUAGGAAGAUUUGAUGAGUUCAAAUUCUGGCACCUUCCAUUUCCGGGGCAUCAGACAGCAGCCUUCCCCCGGAGCCCGAGUUCGCCAUGUAUCAGUCGAUCUCAACUCAGCCACCAGCCUGGCUGAGGAGGCCAAGUCUCGGGCAGGAGCGACCAUCAACCCCUUGCAAGACCCCCCCCCAGGACCGGGUGAAAUGGUCUGGGAGAGGCAUCCCAUCAACCUGCCUUUGCGAUAACAGAAUCCAGUUGAAACCUGUCAGCAGACGCCCACCCUGCAAGUCAGCUUAUCCCUCUGCCAUGAGGUCAAGUUCAGAAGCAGUGAAGAAGCAGAGUCCCUUCCUUGGCGGAAUCAAAUACCAUCAGGUAUUUUGCCUCACAACUAGUGUAUGGGUCUUGCGAGGUUGCACUGAAAUUGGGCUGAAGUCUGUAAAGACAAAGAGUAAAGUUCUCCCCAUCCUCAUUUCCACCAAAACACUCAGAUUGAAUUAUAAUCUGAAGUAGAGGAAUACUUCGGUAUACAAGACUGGGGUAUGGAAAGCAUCCAAUUAAAUGAAUAUUAAUUCAUAUCUAACUCUAUCCAGUGGCCUAAACUGAUAGGACAAAUUUUAAGUAAUUUUAGAAAGUAAGCCUAGCACUUACCUUAAAAACAAAACAAAAAAAACCCUUGGGUCUUUGAGCCCUGUUUCCUUUAUUUACAAACAAAGCAAGAUCUGCUUAUGGGUAUGAGACACUUAAGGAGCAGAGAGCAUUUUUACAUUCUGAGGCAAAAACCAGGCCUUACCAUCACAUCUGAAUCAUACACUGGCCAAGACUUGUGUUCUCCUAAAAGACAUCGGGGCUGAAAAAUUGUGUUCCACAUUUUAAACAGCUAUUGACUUAAAAAUCCAAAGUUACAAAAGCCCUAGAAAAUGUGGUUAAUAAUGGAAAUACCAAUGAACUGCAAUUAUAGUGGUACUUCUGGGUGUCACUAUUAUGAGAGUAUACGGUACUCUAGAGUGAGGUAUAACCUGGACUUAGAUAGCAACCCCUCCUCUCCUUUGAUUUAUGCCGUAUUUCGAUAGCCGUAGAAACAUACCAUUCUUGUUUGCUCUCCUCUGAACAGAGGUCUGGAGACGGUAAGGAUUUUCCCCACAGCUUGUUCACGCCUCUCUUUGUAAGUAUUCUCCAGCUCCUUUAUAUCACACGUAUUUUUUUCAUUUUUCUUGUCACCAAGAUUCAUUAGAUCCCAAUCUACAGAAUGAUGUGUUUUCUUGAUUGAAAGAGCCAGCCCUUUCUUCCUACCUUCAACUGGUGGACAAGAAUUGGGAUACAAGGAUGGCUCCCAUUUACGAUCACGUUUGGGUUACUUGCUUUGAUAGAAAAGUGCCAUUAUAUAAAGUCACUGAAUUGGAUACAGUCCAAUCCCACUAAUAAAAUUAGCACCCUGCCUACAGUAGCUCACUGUAUAAAGUGAGAGACACACUGCAGUCAGAGGGUGAAAGGUGGGUAGGAGGGGCAGCCGAGGGAGCCAGGGACCCCCAGAGGCCCCAGUGGACCCCCUUUCUUCCUACAUGGCUGCUGGGGAGAAGCUCUGCCUCCAGCAGGUGCGGAGAGCUAGCGAGUUUUGCGGCCGGGAGCCUGGGCGACGUUAAGGUCGCUGGUUAGGUUGGGGCAGGGUUGUCCUCCCUGGGGUACUGAGGAGUCUCUGCCCUUCCAUCGGACUGCCCUUGCCACUGUUUUACCUGAAUUCGCCUCGCUAUCCAUCCAUCUCCUCGGGUUCCGUCCGGGUCCAGCUCUCUUCCACCCUCUGCCACCUUUAUGCCAAGUGAGUGUUCCUUGGGCUACAAGACUGUGUCAGGCUGCAGGUCCUCACAGCCCUUUCCAGUGCUUAGUUCAGGGCCCCGAACCAGGUAAGGGCUUGAUAAAUGUCACUCCUGCUAUUGUGAGAAAUGCCAAUACAUACUUACGUUUUGCUUAUGUGCGGUUUUGCAGGGUGGAAUUCGGAGCAGUUUCUGCAAAGCAAGCUGAAUUAGUCAUUUUCCAAUAGGAUCGAUACCUAGAGACAUCAACAAGCCGGGAGGCUGGGCACACCAGAGCGUUGGGAUCUAAGAAAUAUCCGUGUGAGCACCCUGGGGUGCUCUUCUGGGCUGAUAUGAAUAAUCAUGUUAUCAUAUUCAAGAAUGGAUGAAGAUUUGCUGAAAAUGGAAAAAGACAGGGGUCAAUCUGUUGCUCAUCAAAGGGCAAGCCCAGUUGCCACAGGAAGACACGUGGAUGGAGCGGGAAACAGAACCAGUCUUGAAUCCUGACUGACCAAACCUCCACCAUAGCACAGAAUUCCCGGAGUUCUCUACAGCUCUAAGUACCGGUCAUAUUGAACACAAACGUCAAAUAGGGUCCAUUUGAGGAAAGCCUAAAAAUUUAUUAUGAUUUCAGGUCUAUGCAGACUUGAAAUACAAUUCUUUGGAAGUAAAAAAAUGCAGUGCAAUUCAAUAACUAACAACGGUGUAAUGUCUUGUUGGAGCAGUUAAGUACCAUGGAGACAAGAGUGUAAAAAGCUUUUUAAUAGUUCGUUGGCAGAAGGAACACAAGGUGUCAGAAGUCCAUUUGCUACCUAGUGAAGAUUUGCUGGAGGAGGAGGAAGCUGAAGAGGAGGAGGAAACUACUGGCUCUAAGGACAUUUCUGAAGAUCUGUCUGAAAUUUUCAUGCUAUUCCUGUUCCCCACCGCCAUGGAUAAUUGAAAGCUGGCUGUAGCGUGGCACUCCAUGUUCAGACUUGGAUUCACCAACAUGGUGACUUACUAAAGCAAAAAAUAGACUUUUCUCAUCUGCAAGUCAAUAACGAGGGAAAUGAACAGGAAUUCAAGCUCUAUAAUGGGUAUGGCACCCCCACUGCAUUUCCUGAUCUGAUGACUAUAUUGUUUACAAAAACACAAGAGCCCUCUCGGGUAACCUGCCAGUAA